rnacentral:rRNA from 1 species
CUACACAUGCAAGUCGAACGAAGAACAGCUUGAAGCUUGCUUUAGACUGUUUUUAGUGGCGGACGGGUGAGUAACGCGUGAGUAACCUGCCUUUCAGAGGGGGAUAACGUUCUGAAAAGAACGCUAAUACCGCAUGACAUUUCGAAGCCGCAUGGUUUUGGAAUCAAAGGAGCAAUCCGCUGAAAGAUGGACUCGCGUCCGAUUAGCUAGUUGGUGAGGUAAUGGCUCACAAAGGCGACGAUCGGUAGCCGGAUUGAGAGGUUGAUCGGCCACAUUGGGACUGAGACACGGCCCAGACUCCUACGGGAGGCAGCAGUGGGGGAUAUUGCACAAUGGAGGAAACUCUGAUGCAGCAACGCCGCGUGAGGGAAGAAGGUUUUCGGAUUGUAAACCUCUGUCCUUGGUGACGAUAAUGACGGUAGCCAAGGAGGAAGCUCCGGCUAACUACGUGCCAGCAGCCGCGGUAAUACGUAGGGAGCAAGCGUUGUCCGGAUUUACUGGGUGUAAAGGGUGCGUAGGCGGCACUGCAAGUCAGGCGUGAAAGGCGGAGGCUUAACCUCCGAGUUGCGUUUGAAACUGUGGUGCUUGAGUGAAGUAGAGGUAGGCGGAAUUCCCGGUGUAGCGGUGAAAUGCGUAGAGAUCGGGAGGAACACCAGUGGCGAAGGCGGCCUACUGGGCUUUAACUGACGCUGAGGCACGAAAGCAUGGGUAGCAAACAGGAUUAGAUACCCUGGUAGUCC